rnacentral:rRNA from 1 species
AACUGUCAUGACAUUCGAGCCCCGGACAGUUUCACCAUGUAAAAGUGGGGAAGUGUUUGGGUAAGGUAAUAGAUGAAAUGGACGAGGAUCGUAUUGGAGAGGUCAGCAUCGGUUGGGACGGAAGGACCCUCGAUGUAGAAGGUAGGCUCCCAGUGGGCUGCUUUAUAGAUACAUUAGAAAACUUUCCGUCACGACUGAAGUGUACUAUUAGCAUGGAAUAUUCGGGCCACACUUGAGUAGCAAUACUCGAGUACUCGAGUUCUGUGAUGCUGACUGAAAUGGUUUUAACCGACCCGUCUUGAAACACGGACCAAGGAGUCUAACAUAUGUGCAAGUAUGCGGGUGGCAAACCUGUAUGCGAAAUGAAAGUAAGAGUAGGGAUAAGGGUAACAUCGUCAAAAAAUGUUAUGCUUUGCACCUACGACCGACCACGAUCUCAGAGAGAGGUUUGAGUUGGAGCAUAUCUGUUAGGACCCGAAAGAUGGUGAACUAUGCCUGGGUAGAAUGAAGUCAGGGGAAACCCUGAUGGAGGUUCGUAGCGAUACUGACGUGCAAAUCGUUCGUCAAACUUGGGUAU